rnacentral:rRNA from 1 species
UACGAAGCGUGCGAACGUUGUUCGGAAUCACUGGGCUUAAAGGGCGCGUAGGCGGGUUGACAAGUCUGGGGUGAAAUCCCACGGCUCAACCGUGGAACUGCCUUAGAUACUGUCGGCCUCGAGGAAGGUAGGGGCAUGCGGAACUGUAGGUGGAGCGGUGAAAUGCGUUGAUAUCUGCAGGAACACCGGUGGCGAAAGCGGCGUGCUGGACCAUUUCUGAUGCUGAGGCGCGAAAGCGAGGGGAGCAAACAGG